rnacentral:rRNA from 1 species
GCCGUCACCACGCCUACCCUUUGAAAGACACACAGUAGGCACAAUAGUUUCCAAACUAACAAGUCAGGUCAAGGUGUAGCUUAUUAGGUGGAGGAAAUGGGCUACAUUUUCUACGAUAGAUCAUCUACGGACUUCGCUCUGAAACCAAAACGAACAAAGGAGGAUUUAGCAGUAAGCCAAACAAGAGAGUUUGACUAAAUACUUAGCCCUGGAACAUGUACACACCGCCCGUCACCCUCCUCAACACUACCCCAACCUAUUUUUAAUAUAAACAACAUAUACAAAAUGAGGCAAGUCGUAACAUGG